UACAUGGGGUGCAAACGUUGCUCGGAAUUAUUGGGCGUAAAGAGCUCGUAGGCGGCUCGGUAAGUCGGGUGUGAAACCUCCAGGCUCAACCUGGAGACGCCACCUGAUACUGCUGUGGCUAGAGUCCGGUAGGGGAGUGUGGAACUCCUGGUGUAGCGGUGAAAUGCGCAGAUAUCAGGAAGAACACCAGCGGCGAAGGCGGCACUCUGGGCCGGAACUGACGCUGAGGAGCGAAAGCGUGGGUAGCAAACAGG
rnacentral:rRNA from 1 species